ACGAUUUUUGGGGAGCUUCAAGAGGGGAUUUUCAUCAUCAAUGUGAAGGUAAGUUAUCCCCACCUAUUUUGAGUUAAGUACAUCAAUUAUGUAUGGAUUUGAGCAUGAAAAUUGUAGAAAAAUUGAGGAUUUAGGCCUAGGGAUUUGAAAAUAAGAUUUGGUGAUUUGAGGGGUCAAAUGAACUCCGAUUUUUGUAAACUUUAUAUGUACGGACUCGUGGCGAGACGAGGAAUCCGGUGAUGUGACUUUCGUAAUUUUUCGAGAAGUGGGCUCGGGGCUCGGUAUAUGCAAAUUUCAUGAUUUUCGAUAUUUUUCGAGUCUUUUCGAUUGGGUUAUAUUCCCUUAGCCUAUUGUAAUAUAUUCCUUGUGGUAUUGGCAAGAUUCGCCACGCGAGGAGGUCGAUUCGAAAGGAAAUGGCAUCGCGGAGUAGACUUUUGGCCGUCUUGAGGUGAGUAAUAGAUGUAAAUGCUGUUCUGAGGGUUUGAAACCCCGGACUUUCACAUCGUAAUGCUAUAUUGAGGCGUGACACGCACUCCAUGGCGAGUGUGGGGUCGGAUACGAUUGGGGAUUGUGACUUGGUCCAUCCCGUGUGAUGUUUAUACUAUACUGGUGAUUGAUACACAUACUUCAUUGAUAUUGUGGGGCUUGAUGCCAUGUUUGGGGCC
rnacentral:lncRNA from 1 species